rnacentral:rRNA from 1 species
CUUAGCCCUUAACAAAGACAGCACCUAAAUACAAUGCUGUCCGCCAGAGAACUACAAGUGAAAAACUAGAAACUCCAAGGACUUGGCGGUGCCCCAUACCGACCUAGAGGAGCCUGUCCUAUAAUCGAUAAUCCACGCAAUACCUCACCGCUUCUUGUAAUUCAGCCUAUAUACCGCCGUCGUCAGCCUACCCUGUGAAAGAAAUAAAGUAGGCAAAAUAGUUUUUAACUAAAACGUCAGGUCAAGGUGUAGCACAUGAAACGGAAGAGAUGGGCUACAUUUUCUAUAAUAGAAAAAUACGAACGGCACAGUGAAACCUGUUCCCAAAGGCGGAUUUAGCAGUAAGUCAAACAAGAAACUUUGACUUAAACCCGCUCUGGGGCGCGCACACACCGCC